rnacentral:rRNA from 1 species
CCCGCCUGCCCUGUGACUAUAUGUUUAACGGCCGCGGUAUUUUGACCGUGCAAAGGUAGCGCAAUCACUUGUCUUUUAAAUGGAGACCUGUAUGAAUGGCAAGACGAGGGCUAAGCUGUCUCCUUUUCCAAGUCAGUGAAAUUGAUCUCCCCGUGCAGAAGCGGGGAUAUUCUCAUAAGAGCAGAAGACCCUAUGGAGCUUUAGACACAAGGCAGCCCACGUUAAACAGCCUCUCUUAAGGGUAUAAACUUAGUGGCGCCUCGCCCAAUUGUCUUCGGUUGGGGCGACCGCGGGGGAAAGACUAGCCCCCAUGUGGAAUGGGGGUACAUACUCCCUGCAGCCGAGAAAAACUUUUCUAAGCAACAGAAAUUCUGACCAAAAAUGAUCCGGCAAGGCCGAUCAACGGACCCAGUUACCCUAGGGAUAACAGCGCAAUCCUCUCCCAGAGUCCCUAUCGACGAGUGGGUUUACGACCUCGAUGUUGGAUCAGGACAUCCUAAUGGUGCAGCCGCUAUUAAGGG